rnacentral:rRNA from 1 species
GAUGAACGCUAGCGGCAGGCCUAACACAUGCAAGUCGAGGGGCAGCACGUCUUCGGAUGGUGGCGACCGGCGCACGGGUGCGUAACGCGUAUGCAACCUACCUCUUACAGUGGGAUAGCCCAGAGAAAUUUGGAUUAAUACCGCAUAGUAUACAGAUUCAGCAUUGGGACUGUAUUAAACAUUUAUGGGUAAGAGAUGGGCAUGCGUUCUAUUAGUUAGUUGGAGUGGUAACGGCACCCCAAGACAGCGAUAGAUAGGGCCCGUGAGAGGGGGAGUCCCCCACCACUGGUACGUGAGACACGGACCGAGACUUCCUACGGGAGGCAGCAGUGAGGAAUAUUGGACAAUGGGCGAGAGCCUGAUCAGCCAUGCCGCGUGCAGGAAGACGGCCCGUAU